UACGGAGGGUGCAAGCAUUAAUCGGAUUAACUGGGCGUAAAGGGCGCGUAGGCGGCAGAUCAAGUCAGAAGUGAAAUUCCGGGGCUCAACCUCGGAGCAGCAUCUGAAACUGAUUAGCUAGAGGGUAGACGGAGAAAAUGGAAUUCCACAUGUAGCGGUGAAAUGCGUAGAGAUUAGGAAGAACACCAGUGGCGAAGGCGACUUUCUGGACCGUAACUGACGCUGAGAUACGAAAGCGUGGGGAGCAAAC
rnacentral:rRNA from 1 species